rnacentral:rRNA from 1 species
CCAGAGAACUUAGCAGAGAUGCUUUGGUUCCUUCGGGAACUCUGAGACAGGUGCUGCAUGGCUGUCGUCAGCUCGUGUUGUGAAAUGUUGGGUUAAGUCCCGCAACGAGCGCAACCCUUAUCCUUUGUUGCCAGCGGUCCGGCCGGGAACUCAAAGGAGACUGCCAGUGAUAAACUGGAGGAAGGUGGGGAUGACGUCAAGUCAUCAUGGCCCUUACGAGUAGGGCUACACACGUGCUACAAUGGCGCAUACAAAGAGAAGCGACCUCGCGAGAGCAAGCGGACCUCAUAAAGUGCGUCGUAGUCCGGAUUGGAGUCUGCAACUCGACUCCAUGAAGUCGGAAUCGCUAGUAAUCGUAGAUCAGAAUGCUACGGUCGAAUACGUUCCCGGGCCUUGUACACACCGCCCGUCACACCAUGGGAGUGGGUUGCAAAAGAAGUAGGUAGCUUAACCUUCGGGAGGGCGCUUACCACUUUGUGAUUCAUGACUGGGGUGAAGUCGUAACAAGGUAAGCGUAGCGAG